GACGAACGCUGGCGGCGUGGAUUAGGCAUGCAAGUCGAACGGUAUCAUCCUUUCGGGGGUGAGAGAGUGGCGAACUGGUGAGUAACACGUAGGUUAUCUACCCUCAAGACGGGGACAACCCAGGGAAACUUGGGCUAAUACCGGAUGUGAGCAACUUUUUAGUUGUUUGAAAGGUGGCGUAAGCUGUCGCUUGGGGAUGAGCCUGCGUCCUAUUAGUUAGUUGGUGAGGUAACGGCUCACCUAGGCAAUGAUAGGUAGGCGGCCUUAACGGGUGGUCGCCCACACUGGGAUUGAGAUACGGCCCAGACUCCUACGGGAGGCAGCAGUCGAGAAUAGUCUACAAUGGUCGGAAGACUGAUAGUGCGACGCCGCGUGAACGAUGAAUCCCUUCGGGGUGUAAAGUUCUUUUAUAUGUGAGCAGUGCUUCUUAUAUUAACAGUAUGGGGAGAGAGAUAUUAGCAUAUGAAUAAGCAACGGCUAACUCCGUGCCAGCAGCCGCGGUAAAACGU
rnacentral:rRNA from 1 species